AUUGAACGCUGGCGGCAUGCCUUACACAUGCAAGUCGAACGGCAGCGGACCUUCGGGUGCCGGCGAGUGGCGAACGGGUGAGUAAUGCAUCGGAACGUACCUUUCAGUGGGGGAUAACGUAGCGAAAGUUACGCUAAUACCGCAUAUUCUGUGAGCAGGAAAGCAGGGGAUCGCAAGACCUUGCGCUGAUUGAGCGGCCGAUGUCAGAUUAGCUAGUUGGUGAGGUAAAGGCUCACCAAGGCGACGAUCUGUAGCGGGUCUGAGAGGAUGAUCCGCCAGACUGGAACUGAGACACGGUCCAGACUCCUACGGGAGGCAGCAGUGGGGAAUUUUGGACAAUGGGGGCAACCCUGAUUCAGCCAUGCCGCGUGAGUGAAGAAGGCCUUCGGGUUGUAAAGCUCUUUCGGCCGGGAAGAAAUCGCACGGGCUAAUACCCUGUGUGGAUGACGGUACCGGAAUAAGAAGCACCGGCUAACUACGUGCCAGCCGCCGCAGUAACAC
rnacentral:rRNA from 1 species